AUGAACGCUGGCGGCGUGCCUAAUACAUGCAAGUCGAACGAAACUUCUUUAUCACCGAGUGCUUGCACUCACCGAUAAAGAGUUGAGUGGCGAACGGGUGAGUAACACGUGGGCAACCUGCCCAAAAGAGGGGAUAACACUUGGAAACAGGUUCUAAUACCGCAUAACCAUAGUUACCGCAUGGUAACUAUGUAAAAGGUUGCUAUACUACCGCUUUUGGAUUGGCCCGCGGCGCAUUAGCUAGUUGGUAGGGUAAAGGCUUACCAAGGCAAUGAUGCGUAGCCGAAUUGAGAGGUUGAUCGGCCACAUUGGGACUGAGACACGGCCCAAACUCCUACGGGAGGCAGCAGUAGGGAAUCUUCCACAAUGGGCGAAAGCCUGAUGGAGCAACGCCGCGUGGGUGAAGAAGGUCUUCGGAUCGUAAAACCCUGUUGUUAGAGAAGAAAGUGCGUGAGAGUAACUGUUCACGUUUCGACGGUAUCUAACCAGAAAGCCACUGCUAACUACGUG
rnacentral:rRNA from 1 species